rnacentral:rRNA from 1 species
UUGGAGGGCAAGUCUGGUGCCAGCAGCCGCGGUAAUUCCAGCUCCAAUAGCGUAUAUUAAAGUUGCUGCAGUUAAAAAGCUCGUAGUUGAAUUUCGGGAUCGACGGGUCGGUCGCGCCUCUGGUGUGUACUGGCCCUGUCGGUUUCUCCCUUCUGACGAACCACGAUGUCAUUAAUUUGGUGUCGUGGAGAAUCAGGACUGUUACUUUGAAAAAAUUAGAGUGUUUAAAGCAAGCAUUCGCUUGAAUACAUUAGCAUGGAAUAAUGAAAUAGGACGUUUGAUCUUAUUUUGUUGGUUUCUAAGAUCGACGUAAUGAUUAAUAGGGAUAGUUGGGGGCAUUAGUAUUCAAUUGUCAGAGGUGAAAUUCUUGGAUUUAUUGAAGACUAACUACUGCGAAAGCAUUUGCCAAGGAUGUUUUCAUUAAUCAAGAACGAAAGUUAGGGGAUCGAAGACGAUCAGAUACCGUCGUAGUCUUAACCAUAAACUAUGCCGACUAGGGAUCGGAUGAUGUUAAUUUUUUAAUGACUCAUUCGGCGCCUUACGGGAAAC